AACUAUCAAAACACUUUUCAUAGCAGAGGUUGUUUUGGACUUUGGGAGUGAUUUUUUUGCUGGCCUUUUUCCAGCUCUCCUAAAAAGCAUUAGUCGGCAGACAAUCCAGUGUGAUAAGUUUCUUACGCUGUCUCUGCUUGUCGAGGUUCUUUGAAGAACCUAU
rnacentral:misc_RNA from 1 species